rnacentral:misc_RNA from 1 species
AAAAAAAAAAAACUGCUUGGAAUGACUUGUGUCCGGUGGAGAAAACAUGUUUUCUUAAUGGCAAUUAUUGUUCAUGUUGUUUCAUUUUUCAUUUACACUCCAAGUUUUGAACAUGAGUCGCUUCAAUGGGUGAUAUGUACUGGGUUCUUAGUGAAAGAAACUAAAAGAUGGCAUUUUCAUGAAUCAUGAAGCUUCUUGGUUUUUUGACUCGCAGUUCUAUUUUCAUGAUAUUAUGUUAGUGUAUUAAAGUCAUGAAAGUCAAACUUAGAUUAUUUAAGUGGGUACGAUUUUUCAUUUACAGACUAUUUAAUUGCUUGUGCAAUGGGAAAAUAAUUAAAUUUUUUUAUACGAAUAAAAAGAU